GCGGGGGUUGCCAAGCGGUCAAAGGCGCAGGGCUUAGGACCCUGUCUCGAAGGAGUUCGCGAGUUCGAUUCUCGUCCCCCGCA
rnacentral:tRNA from 1 species